AUACAGUUAUAAGUUUCUCGCUAUAACUAAUAACAUUCGCACUCAGACCUCCACCAUUGGUGGACAACAAAUGUUAAACUGAUUUUUGGAAAUAGACGGAGAGUUUAGGAGCUUGCUCCAUCUCUGUCACGGGUUGACCUGGCAUUGCAGUACAGUCAGUGUUGGCCCAAUAAUU
rnacentral:snRNA from 12 species